rnacentral:piRNA from 1 species
CUUUAGCUUAGAAUGAGAAAUGAUACC